GGUUAAGCUGGGGACUCUAAGGAACUGCCUACGCAAGUAGUGAGGAAGGCGGGGAUGACGUCAAAUCAGCACGGCCCUUACGUCCAGGGCUACACACGUGCGUACAAUGGCCGAUACAGAGGGCAGCUACCUGGUGACAGGAUGCAAAUCUCCAAAGUCGGUCUCAGUUCGGAUCGGAGUCUGCAACCCGACUCCGUGAAGUUGGAUUCGCUAGUAAUCGCGCAUCAGCCAUGGCGCGGUGAAUACGUUCCCGGGCCUU
rnacentral:rRNA from 1 species